rnacentral:rRNA from 1 species
ACUUGGCGACCGAUAGUGAACAAGUACCGUGAGGGAAAGGUGAAAAGUCCCCCUGUUAGGGGAGUGAAAUAGAACCUGAAACCGUAAGCUUACAAGCAGUCGGAGGGCUAAUGGCGUGUCGGUGCUAUUGCGAAAGCAUGUGCGCGGCGCUAUGCCUGACGGCGUGCCUCUUGGAGAAUGAGCCUGCGAGUUAAUCUCAGUGGCGAGGUUAAGGGAGUGACACCCGUAGCCGUAGCGAAAGCGAGUCUGAAUAGGGCGUAUAGUCGCUGGGAUUAGACACGAAACCGGGUGAGCUACCCAUGGCCAGGGUGAAGCGAGUCUAACCGCUCGUGGAGGCCCGAACCUAUUAAUGUUGCAAAAUUAUGGGAUGAGCUGUGGGUAGAGGUGAUAUGCCAAUCGAACUCGGAGAUAGCUUGUUCUCCCCGAAAUAGCUUUAGGGCUAGCGUCAUGCGUUUAGUACCGGAGGUAGAGCACUGGAUGAGCUAGGGGGCUUACCGCUUACCGAACUCAACCAAACUCCGAANNNNNNNNUCGAAAGGGAAACAGCCCAGAUCAUCGGCUAAGGUCCUCAAAUCCAAGCUAAGUGGGAAACGAGGUGAGGUUACUGGAACAACCAGGAGGUUGGCUCAGAAGCAGCCACCCUUUAAAGAGUGCGUAAUAGCUCACUGGUCUAGUGACCUUGCGCGGAAAACUUAACGGGGCUAAGCUUGGUACCGAAGCCAUGGGUCUUGUCGCAAGACAGGGCAGUAGGGGAGCGUUCCGCCAGCGGUGAAGGUUGACUGUAAAGACAGCUGGAGCGGGCGGAAGUGAGAAUGCAGGCAUGAGUAGCGUAUAAACACGUGAGAACCGUGUUCGCCGUAAAUCUAAGGUUUCCGACGCCAGGUCAUUCCGCGUCGGGUUAGUCGGCCCUUAGCCGAGGCCGAAAGGCGUAGGCGAUGGACAUCCGGUCAACAUUCCGGAACCAUCUGGAAGGAGCGAUGGGGGGACGCAGCGAGGUAGGCCAGCCUGCGAUUGGUUGUGCAGGUGCAAAACGUCUAGGUGUUGAGGUCUGUAGGCAAAUCCGCAGACUGAGCUGAAGCGUGAAUGCGAGCCCUUGAGGCGGAAGUGGUUAAGCCUUGCUGCCGAGAAAAGCCCCUAAGCGUUGAAUUCCAGAUGCCCGUACCGCAAUCCGACACCGGUAGAUGGGUAGAGUAUACCAAGGCGAACGGGAGAACCCUCGUUAAGGAACUCGGCAAUUUAACCCCGUAACUUCGGGAUAAGGGGUGCCUUCUGACGUCCGGUUUACCAAAGCGUUGGAAGGUCGCAGUGAAAUGGUUCUAGUGACUGGUUAUCAAAACCACAGGUCUCUGCAAAGCCGUAAGGCGAUGUAUAGGGGCUGACACCUGCCCAGUGCCGGAAGGUUAAAGGGAGAGGUUACCCUGAGCGCAAGCGAAGGGGAAGCUUUGAACUGAAGCCCCGGUGAACGGCGGCCGUAACUAUAACGGUCCUAAGGUUCUAUCGCGAGCCUUAGUAAAACCGAACUAUAUGCGGGAAACUCCUCCACAGCCGCGCGGUACUCGUCUGCCCUCGGGCAGGCAGUAAAAAUCCGCCGGACAUGGGGACAAUCCGCAGGGAAGACUCUUAUGACAGACAACAUUAUGAGAGAACCCUCAGAGACUUUACGUUCGGUCUCGUCCCAGAGGCUGGAAGCCCAGUGGGUGGUCGGUUUCGUGGAUGGCGAAGGGUGCUUCUAUGUAGGCAUCAACCUUCAACCUGAAAUGAAAGUUGGCUAUCAAGUGUUGCCAGAAUUUACUAUAGUGCAACACGAACGGGAUAUACAGCUGUUGUAUGCGCUCAAACAAUUCUUUGGGUGCGGCGUGGUGCGUAGAAACCACGCUGAACGGAUGGCAUAUCGGGUGAGAGGUACAAGACACCUUCGGGAGCGAAUCCUCCCGUUCUUCGAGAUGCAUCCGCUGAAAUCCAAGAAACGCCAGGAUUUUCUGAAGUUUCGCCGGAUUUUACUCCUGAUGGAGCGCGGCGAACAUUUGACCACUGAAGGCGUCGAGCGUAUCCGAGCAAUUGCCUCGAAAAUGAAUACGGGACGGGAAAGAUAAAGUCCGGCUCCUCCGGAAACGAAGUGAGAUGAACCGAGCGAAAUUCCUUGUCGGGUAAGUUCCGACCCGCACGAACGGUGUAACAACUAGAACAGUGUCUCAACGAGGGACCCGGUGAAAUUGAAAUGGCUGUGAAGAUGCGGCCUACCCGCAGUAGGACAAAAAGACCCCGUGGAGCUUUACUGCAUCUUGGCAUUGAGUUUGGGUAUGAUUUGUGUAGCAUAGGUGGGAGGCUUUGAAGCUGGGGCGCUAGCCUCGGUGGAGCCAUCAGUGAAAUACCACCCUGAUUAUGCUUAGACCCUAACCCCGCACCGUCAUCCGGGCGGGGGACCGUGCCAGGUGGGCAGUUUGACUGGGGCGGUCGCCUCCUAAAAUGUAACGGAGGCGCCCAAAGGUUCCCUCAGGGUGAAUGGAAACCACCCAAAGAGUGUAAAGGCAUAAGGGAGCUUGACUGCAAGACCAACGCGUCGCGCAGAGUCGAAAGACGGGCUUAGUGAUCCCACGAAUCUGAGUGGAAAGGUCGUGGCUACCGGAUAAAAGCUACCCCGGGGAUAACAGGCUGGUGAGAUCCAAGAGUUCACAUCGACGAUCUCGCUCGGCACCUCGAUGUCGGCUCAUCGCAUCCUGGGGCUGGAUAAGGUCCCAAGGGUCGGGCUGUUCGCCCGUUAAAGCGGUACGCGAGCUGGGUUCAGACCGUCGUGAGACAGGUCGGUCUCUAUCCACUGUGGGCGUAAGGGAUUUGAAGGGAGCUGCUCCUAGUACGAGAGGACCGGAGUGGACAGACCUCUGGUGUGCCAGUUGUCGUGCCAACGGCAUCGCUGGGUAGCUACGUCUGGCAGAGAUAACCGCUGAAAGCAUCUAAGUGGGAAACUCGCCCUAAGAUUAGAUCCCUGUAUUCCCUUAAGGGAGUAAGACCGCAGGUAGACUACCUGCUUAAUAGGCGGCGUGUGUAAGCGCAGCAAUGCGUUAAGCUAAGCCGUACUAAUGGUCGAGGGCUGAUCU